rnacentral:tRNA from 1 species
UAAGUAUAGUUUAUUAAAAAUUCUA